rnacentral:rRNA from 1 species
AGUCGAGCGAACAGACGAGGAGCUUGCUCCUCUGACGUUAGCGGCGGACGGGUGAGUAACACGUGGAUAACCUACCUAUAAGACUGGGAUAACUUCGGGAAACCGGAGCUAAUACCGGAUAAUAUAUUGAACCGCAUGGUUCAAUAGUGAAAGACGGUUUUGCUGUCACUUAUAGAUGGAUCCGCGCCGCAUUAGCUAGUUGGUAAGGUAACGGCUUACCAAGGCAACGAUGCGUAGCCGACCUGAGAGGGUGAUCGGCCACACUGGAACUGAGACACGGUCCAGACUCCUACGGGAGGCAGCAGUAGGGAAUCUUCCGCAAUGGGCGAAAGCCUGACGGAGCAACGCCGCGUGAGUGAUGAAGGUCUUCGGAUCGUAAAACUCUGUUAUUAGGGAAGAACAAAUGUGUAAGUAACUAUGCACGUCUUGACGGUACCUAAUCAGAAAGCCACGGCUAACUACGUGCCAGCAGCCGCGGUAAUACGUAGGUGGCAAGCGUUAUCCGGAAUUAUUGGGCGUAAAGCGCGCGUAGGCGGUUUUUUAAGUCUGAUGUGAAAGCCCACGGCUCAACCGUGGAGGGUCAUUGGAAACUGGAAAACUUGAGUGCAGAAGAGGAAAGUGGAAUUCCAUGUGUAGCGGUGAAAUGCGCAGAGAUAUGGAGGAACACCAGUGGCGAAGGCGACUUUCUGGUCUGUAACUGACGCUGAUGUGCGAAAGCGUGGGGAUCAAACAGGAUUAGAUACCCUGGUAGUCCACGCCGUAAACGAUGAGUGCUAAGUGUUAGGGGGUUUCCGCCCCUUAGUGCUGCAGCUAACGCA